rnacentral:rRNA from 1 species
UGGUGAGGUAACGGCCCACCAAGGCGACGAUCAGUAGCCGACUUGAGAGAGUGAUCGGCCACAUUGGGACUGAGACACGGCCCAAACUCCUACGGGAGGCAGCAGUAGGGAAUUUUCGUCAAUGGGGGGAACCCUGAACGAGCAAUGCCGCGUGAGUGAGGAAGGUCUUCGGAUCGUAAAGCUCUGUUGUAAGAGAAAAACGGCACUCAUAGGGAAUGAUGAGUGAGUGAUGGUAUCUUACCAGAAAGUCACGGCUAACUACGUGCCAGCAGCCGCGGUAAUACGUAGGUGGCGAGCGUUAUCCGGAAUGAUUGGGCGUAAAGGGUGCGUAGGUGGCAGAUCAAGUCUGGAGUAAAAGGUAUGGGCUCAACCCGUACUGGCUCUGGAAACUGAUCAGCUAGAGAACAGAAGAGGACGGCGGAACUCCAUGUGUAGCGGUAAAAUGCGUAGAUAUAUGGAAGAACACCGGUGGCGAAGGCGGCCGUCUGGUCUGGAUUCUGACACUGAAGCACGAAAGCGUGGGGAGCAAAUAGGAUUAGAUACCCUAGUAGUCCACGCCGUAAACGAUGAGAACUAGGUGUUGGGGGAAUAACUCAGUGCCGCAGUUAACGCAGUAAGUUCUCCGCCUGGGGAGUAUGCACGCAAGUGUGAAACUCAAAGGAAUUGACGGGGGCCCGCACAAGCGGUGGAGUAUGUGGUUUAAUUCGAAGCAACGCGAAGAACCUUACCAGGCCUUGACAUCCCUUGCAGAGGUAUAGAGAUAUAUCCGAGGCUAUCAAGGAGACAGGUGGUGCAUGGUUGUCGUCAGCUCGUGUCGUGAGAUGUUGGGUUAAGU